rnacentral:rRNA from 1 species
UCAGGACGAACGCUGGCGGCGUGCUUAACACAUGCAAGUCGGACGGUCGGCACCGGAAGGUUCGCUGGAAGGUGCCGGUAGUGGCGGACGGGUGAGUAACGCGUGAGGACAUGGCUCCAGGAGGGGGAUAACGUUUGGAAACGGACGCUAAGACCCCAUAAGCCGGGAGGUGAAAAUGGCGCAAGCCAGCCUGGAGAGUGACUCGCGUCCUAUCAGCUGGUUGGUGGGGUGACGGCCCACCAAGGCGAUGACGGGUAGCCGACCUGAGAGGGUGGCCGGCCACACUGGAACUGAGAUACGGUCCAGACUCCUACGGGAGGCAGCAGUGGGGAAUAUUGGGCAAUGGGCGAAAGCCUGACCCAGCGACGCCGCGUGGGUGAUGAAGGCCUUCGGGUUGUAAAGCCCUUUCGUGCGGAAAGAACUGUCCCGCGGUGAAUACCCGCGGGAUCUGACGGUACCGCAGGAAGAAGCACCGGCUAACUCCGUGCCAGCAGCCGCGGUAAUACGGAGGGUGCAAGCGUUGUUCGGAAUUAUUGGGCGUAAAGGGCGCGUAGGUGGUUGUGAUAGUCAGAUGUGAAAUCCUCUGGCUCAACUGGAGAACUGCAUCUGAAACUUCAUAACUCGAGUACAGGAGAGGGAAACGGAAUUCCCGGUGUAGAGGUGAAAUUCGUAGAUAUCGGGAGGAACACCAGUGGCGAAGGCGGUUUCCUGGCCUGAUACUGACACUGAGGCGCGAAAGCGUGGGGAGCAAACAGGAUUAGAUACCCUGGUAGUCCACGCGGUAAACGGUGAACACUAGGGGUGGGGAGUGUAAUCCCUUCUGUGCCGAAGCUAACGCGUUAAGUGUUCCGCCUGGGAAGUUACGGCCGCCAAGGUUGAAACUCAAAGGAAUUGACGGGGGGCCCGCACAAGCGGUGGAGCAUGUGGUUUAAUUCGACGCAACGCGAAGAACCUUACCAGGCCUUGACAUCCCUUGCAGAGGUGUAGAGAUACAUCCGAGGUUAUCAAGGAGACAGGUGGUGCAUGGUUGUCGUCAGCUCGUGUCGUGAGAUGUUGGGUUAAGUCCCGCAACGAGCGCAACCCUUGUCUUCAGUUACCAUCAUUAAGCUGGGGACUCUGAAGAGACUGCUGGUGAUAAACCGGAGGAAGGUGGGGAUGACGUCAAAUCAUCAUGCCCCUUAUGGCCUGGGCUACACACGUACUACAAUGGCGUAUACAACGAGGAGCGACACUGCGAAGUGAAGCAAAUCUCUUAAAGUACGUCUCAGUUCGGAGAGAAGUCUGCAACCCGACUUCAUGAAGCUGGAAUCGCUAGUAGUCGCGGAUCAGCAUGCCGCGGUGAAU